rnacentral:rRNA from 1 species
CCUACGGGGGGCAGCAGUGAGGAAUAUUGGUCAAUGGACGAGAGUCUGAACCAGCCAAGUAGCGUGAAGGAUGACUGCCCUAUGGGUUGUAAACUUCUUUUAUAUGGGAAUAAAAUGUUCCACGUGUGGGAUUUUGUAUGUACCAUAUGAAUAAGGAUCGGCUAACUCCGUGCCAGCAGCCGCGGUAAUACGGAGGAUCCGAGCGUUAUCCGGAUUUAUUGGGUGUAAAGGGAGCGUAGGUGGAUUGUUAAGUCAGUUGUGAAAGUGUGCGGCUCAACCGUAAAAUUGCAGUUGAAACUGGGAGUCUUGAGUACAGGAGAGGUGAGCGGAAUUCGUGGUGUAGCGGUGAAAUGCUUAGAUAUCACGAAGAACUCCGAUUGCGAAGGCAGCUCACUGGACUGCAACUGACACUGAGGCUCGAAAGUGUGGGUAUCAAACAGGAUUAGAUACCCUUGUAGUC